AUGGCGUGCUCAUCCCGCGGCCCGAGACGGAGGCCGUCGUGGACAUGGUCGCCACCACCGACUGCGAGCGGGCGUCCUGGUCCUAUCCCUCAUCGUCCUCGACAUUUGGUACUUCGACUUCGAGUUUCGCCCGAUUUAGAUCAACGAGGCAUGGAAGAUCAGGCCGGCCGUGGACCACACCGUCCUCCCCAAGGGCAAGGCUCAAGCCAAAUGUUUCUACAAGUUUCUGAACGUGUUUGCGUGGUGAUGAUGGAGAGUUGGUGUCCAUUUCUCUGUGGAAAUGGAAUUUUCUCUGUGUGUUUAGACCGGACGUUGUGGCUCAUGGGGGUCGCGGGAUCCAUCGCCUACAACUGGUCCAGGUCCGGCAUGAAGACCAGCGUCAAGCUCAUCCACGACAGGGCUGGACUGCCACCAAAGGAGGAUAAUGAUGACAGCGACGGUGAGGACAGCUCCAACGACGUGCAUAUACGACUUGAUCCCUACCGCGUCUUCGACCGGUACUUCCGCGAGAAGGACGACAAUGGCACAGGGAAGGGCGAGGACAGUCGGGGACGAUCUUCUCCACCAUAG
rnacentral:rRNA from 1 species